UGCGCAGGCGGACUUUUAAGUCAGUGGUGAAAUCCCGGGGCUCAACCCCGGAACUGCCAUUGAUACUGGAAGUCUUGAAUUUGGUUGAAGUGGGCGGAAUGUAGCAUGUAGCGGUGAAAUGCUUAGAUAUGCUACAGAACACCGAUCGCGAAGGCAGCUCACUAAGCCAAUAUUGACGCUCAGGCACGAAAGCGUGGGGAGCGAACAGGAUUAGAUACCCUGGUAGUCC
rnacentral:rRNA from 1 species